UACGUAGGUGGCGAGCGUUGUCCGGAUUUACUGGGCGUAAAGGGAGCAUAGGCGGACUUUUAAGUGAGAUGUGAAAUACCCGGGCUCAACUUGGGUGCUGCAUUUCAAACUGGAAGUCUAGAGUGCAGGAGAGGAGAAUGGAAUUCCUAGUGUAGCGGUGAAAUGCGUAGAGAUUAGGAAGAACACCAGUGGCGAAGGCGAUUCUCAGGACUGUAACUGACGCUGAGGCUCGAAAGCCUGGGGAGCAAACAGGAUUAGAUA
rnacentral:rRNA from 1 species